GGGGAGGGGCAGAGAAAACCCCUUCAUCUCCCUCCCAUUCUGUUCUUGUUGCUGUUCUGUUCUUCCAUGAGCUAAGCUCCCUCCUCAUUUUCCUCCUCCCCAAAUCUUCACAAAAAUGCAAGGAUCCAGCCCUGCAUGUCACACCACAAGAUCCCCAAGGUUGUAAGCUUUCCAUCCAUCCAAAUAGCCUGCACAUGCAUCGGUUGCUGAGGGAGAUCGAGAAGAAAAGAGGAGCUUGCUGCUUGGUGCAGAGCAGCAGCAGCAGCAGUUGUUUUCCUCCUCUUGGUCACCGGUUCAAGAUUUGAAGGCUAGUAGCAGGCUGCAAGCUGUUUUCUCUUCUUCGGUGACAACAGCUCGGUGUCUUUGCUUCCCUGUUUUGAUUUGGAGAAUCCGGAGAGUACCGAGCCAUAUCCAGAGGAGGGUAGUGACUACCCUCAGC